AAUCUUCCAUCCAUCAAUCUAUCCAUAAAUCCAUCCAUCCAUCCAUCCAAAUCCACCCAAUCUUCCAUCCAUACCAUCCAUAUCCAUAUCUGCAGUCCUUUCUGAUAUUUUUUUGUUCCUCAUUCACACAAUCAUCAAUCAUCAUCAGUGAUAUCAACAGGACCUUCAUGAACGCAGGAGAGUUUGUGGCUAUGUUUAGAUCACACUUCUUGCAGGAAACAAAUGUUGAGAUUGAAGGCUACAGAGAGGCAGAAAUGGCGCUCGCCCACGUCUGAACCUGCUGUGUCUCUGCCAGUCAAACCCGCUCGUUUGUGAUGUGGUUUCAGCUCACACUCGAGUGCUGUCCUGUGCUGUGACCCGAUGCCCCGCUGCAGGUUUACAGCACUCAGCACAAUUAAACGCUGCUAGCCAGAGGCCAAAGUCUCACAUCAAAUUGCUAAAUCCCCCAUGAUGCACUAAUAAGGAAGAGGAUGAGGCUCACUUCCUGUGUCAACAGGUCUGUUUUGAGCAGGACGGCAUGAGUGCAUGUUUCUAAUGCUGAACAGGACAUGCUAUACAGAUAUGAAAGAUCUGAAAGAUUACAACACAAUAGGUCAGAACAAGAUUUACUGAAACAAGUGAGACUGUUCUGAAACAGAGACUCCGCUUUGGAUAUUUACAAUACUGAAAUAAAACUUGUAAGCGCACAUUCAUGCAUGUGUUAUGCUUUUAUAAUGUUCAAAGUAACAUUCACCCAAAAAAGAUUAUUUGCAGAAAAUGAUUUCCCUCCUGAUUCAGACCAGAUUACUUUUUAGCAUUAGCCAGAAGCAAUGGUUUUAAAGUUUAAAGCGUCUUAAUGCUGGAUUUGUUUCAUCUUUUGUCUUCUCCAGAUGUUCACUGAUGGACUGCUGUGGAUUAUUCUGAUGUUUUUAUCAGACUCUCAUUCUGACGGCACCCAUUCACUGCAGAGCAUCCAUUGAUGAGACACUGAUGCAAUGCUACAUUUCUCCAAACCUGACGAAGAAACGAACUCCUCGACAUCUUUUCAUUUUUAUGUGAACUGUUCCUUUAAGACGCCACAACGCAGCCAGGAUCACAACACACGUUUUCAGUAUGAACUGGGACGUCUUUCUCAUUAGUCAGAACAUCCUGCUGGCAGAAACCCAUUUUAAUUGAAAGAUCCUGAUGAGAUUUGGGCAGGAAUUGGAUGGUGUGUAAACAUCAAGCCACUGAGGACAGGGGGAAGAAACACUGAAAAACAUCAGAUCUCACAUCCAGCUUUAAAGGAACUGUUCAGAGCAAAGGAACAUUCUGUCAUCUUUCACUCAUGUUCUUCCAAAGCUUUGUUUCGUGGAACACAAAAAGAGACGUUUAGUAGAAUGUUCAUGCUGCUCAAUCCCCAAAAGAAACAUAAAACACCAUAACAGUAUCAUAUAAAAUCUUCUGAAGCCACAUUAUAGCUUUGUGUGAGAAGUUUUGUCUUGCUAGUGAGUAAAAUAUGUUUUUAUAAUAAUUUUUUUAUAAUAAUUUUUUUAUAAUA
rnacentral:lncRNA from 1 species